UACGGGGGGGGCAAGCGUUGUUCGGAAUUACUGGGCGUAAAGGGCGCGUAGGCGGGUGGACAAGUCUCUCGUGAAAGCCCACGGCUCAACUGUGGAAUUGCGGGAGAUACUGUCUGUCUUGAGUCCGGGAGAGGAGGGUGGAAUUCCCAGUGUAGCGGUGAAAUGCGUAGAUAUUGGGAGGAACACCGGUGGCGAAGGCGGCCCUCUGGACCGGUACUGACGCUGAGGCGCGAAAGCUAGGGGAGCAAACGGG
rnacentral:rRNA from 1 species